rnacentral:rRNA from 1 species
GACGAACGCUGGCGGCGUGCUUAACACAUGCAAGUCGAACGCUGAAGCCCUUCGGGGUGGAUGAGUGGCGAACGGGUGAGUAACACGUGGGUAAUCUGCCCUGCACUCUGGGAUAAGCCUUGGAAACGGGGCCUAAUACCGGAUAGGACGCAUCGCCGCAUGGUGUGUGUGUGGAAAGUUCCGGCGGUGCAGGUUGAGCCCGCGGCCUAUCAGCUUGUUGGUGGGGUGAUGGCCUACCAAGGCGACGACGGGUAGCCGGCCUGAGAGGGUGACCGGCCACACUGGGACUGAGACACGGCCCAGACUCCUACGGGAGGCAGCAGUGGGGAAUCUUGCGCAAUGGGCGAAAGCCUGACGCAGCAACGCCGCGUGGGGGAUGACGGCCUUCGGGUUGUAAACCUCUUUCGACCGGGACGAAGGAUUCGUUUGACGGUACCGGUAGAAGAAGCACCGGCUAACUACGUGCCAGCCGCCGCCGUAACAC